UUGCCCAAUGAUUAUAGCAAGACGCGUUAUUAUGAGGACUAAUGCUGGAACUCUUUCUCCUCCUUCUUUGUCCCUUCCUCUUUUACCUUCCCCCCCUCACUUUCCUUAGGGUAUCCAGCGUCCUAUGAGCAAGACUGAGAUAUGAGGGCAA
rfam:Colius striatus contig33678, whole genome shotgun sequence.